rnacentral:misc_RNA from 1 species
UAAGAGAGAAUGGCCCAGGA